rnacentral:rRNA from 1 species
UACGAAGGGUGCAAACGUUGCUCGGAAUUAUUGGGCGUAAAGCGCACGUAGGCGGCUCAACAAGUCGGAUGUGAAAUCCCUCGGCUCAACCAAGGAAGUGCACCCGAAACUGUCGAGCUUGAAUAUGGAAGAGGGUCGCGGAAUUCCCGGUGUAGAGGUGAAAUUCGUAGAUAUCGGGAGGAACACCAGUGGCGAAGGCGGCGACCUGGGCCAAUAUUGACGCUGAGGUGCGAAAGCGUGGGGAGCAAACAGG